rnacentral:rRNA from 1 species
AUUGAACGCUGGCGGCAUGCUUUACACAUGCAAGUCGAACGGUAACAGGCCGCAAGGUGCUGACGAGUGGCGAACGGGUGAGUAAUGCAUCGGAACGUGCCCAGUCGUGGGGGAUAACGCAGCGAAAGCUGUGCUAAUACCGCAUACGAUCUAUGGAUGAAAGCGGGGGACCGUAAGGCCUCGCGCGAUUGGAGCGGCCGAUGUCAGAUUAGCUGGUUGGUGGGGUAAAGGCCCACCAAGGCGACGAUCUGUAGCUGGUCUGAGAGGACGACCAGCCACACUGGGACUGAGACACGGCCCAGACUCCUACGGGAGGCAGAAGUGGGGAAUUUUGGACAAUGGGCGCAAGCCUGAUCCAGCAAUGCCGCGUGCAGGAAGAAGGCCUUCGGGUUGUAAACUGCUUUUGUACGGAACGAAACGGUCUGGGUUAAUACCCUGGGCUAAUGACGGUACCGUAAGAAUAAGCACCGGCUAACUACGUGCCAGCAGCCGCCGUAACAC